UACGAAGGGGGCUAGCGUUGCUCGGAUUUACUGGGCGUAAAGGGCGCGUAGGCGGCUUGUUAAGUCGGGGGUGAAAGCCCGGGGCUCAACCCCGGAAUUGCCUUCGAUACUGGCAGUCUUGAGUAUGGGAGAGGUGUGUGGAACUCCGAGUGUAGAGGUGAAAUUCGUAGAUAUUCGGAAGAACACCAGUGGCGAAGGCGACACACUGGCCCAUUACUGACGCUGAGGCGCGAAAGCGAGGGGAGCAAACAGG
rnacentral:rRNA from 1 species